GAAAUACGAUAAGUAAUGUGAAUUGCAGAAUUCAGUGAAUCAUCGAAUCUUUGAACGCACCUUGCGCUCCUUGGUAUUCCUUGGAGCAUGCCUGUUUGAGUAUCAUGAAAUCUUCAAAGUAAAUCUUUUGUUAACUCAAUUGGUUUCUACUUUGGUAUUGGAGGUCUUUGCAGCUUCACACCUGCUCCUCUUUGUUCAUUAGCUGGAUCUCAGUGUUAUGCUUGGUUCCACUCGGCGUGAUAAGUUAUCUAUCGCUGAGGACACUGUAAAAGGUGGCCAAGGUAAAUGCAGAUGAACCACUUCUAAUAGUCCAUUGACUUGGACAAUACUUUUAUGAUCUGAUCUCAAAUCAGGUAGGACUACCCGCUGAACUUAAGC
rnacentral:misc_RNA from 1 species